AACGCGAAGAACCUUACCUGGGCUUGACAUGUGAGCGACAGGUGUGGAAACACACUCUCCCUUCGGGGCGCUCUCACAGGUGGUGCAUGGCUGUCGUCAGCUCGUGUCGUGAGAUGUUGGGUUAAGUCCCGCAACGAGCGCAACCCCCGUCGCAUGUUGCCAGCAUUAAGUUGGGGACUCAUGUGAGACUGCCGGUGACAAACCGGAGGAAGGUGGGGAUGACGUCAAGUCAUCAUGCCCCUUAUGUCCAGGGCUACACACGUGCUACAUUGGCGCGUACAGAGGGCUGCGAUACCGCGAGGUGGAGCGAAUCCCUUAAAGCGCGUCUCGGUUCGGAUUGCAGGCUGAAACUCGCCUGCAUGAAGGCGGAGUUGCUAGUAAUCGCGGAUCAGCAUUGCCGCGGUGAAUACGUUCCCGGGCCUUGUACACACCGACUGUAC
rnacentral:rRNA from 1 species